GGAGAAGGAACGGCCAUCCAGCUGUGCUGGGGAAGGCUCAGGUGGGACAUGAGGUGGAAUUUCUCCCUGGAAAGGGUGGUGAGGCCUUGGCAGGGGCUGCCCAGGGAGGUUUGGAGUGCCCAGCCCUGGAGGUGUCCCAGGAAGGCCUGGC